GUCGGAACGUCUGGUAGCAUCUCUGGCUGCUGUUGACCUUGUUUUUGGAGUAAAACACGGUGGAAGCUGAAUUAGUGAGGAUGACUCCUGCUCCUGUCAUCUCUAAGCUCCUCACACAUCUUUACCUGCACAUGAGGAAAAUCACUGCUGUAGAAUGCAGAUGUUCAGAGGGAGAUGAUGCCACAUCUGGUCCAGCUGAUGGAAGGUCUUGAAGUUCUCUGACUGGCCUCGACUGAAGAUGGUCGUCUCACUGGAUUUAAGGUUCAGAUGCUCAGUAACAAACUCCACCAAUGAGCCAACAGGGAAGCUUUAGGUUUAUUAAAUGUUGCUAUGAAGGUUUCACUGUUUUUCUUUGUGAAUGCAAUGAGCUCCAACUGAAACUUGAAUUAGAACUUAGAAGUAAAUCCUUCCAUCUGAAAGGAUUUAGUUGCAUUAUUAACCUCAUAACAUUCUAAUUUUUAUUCCAGUCUUGGUUGGAAAUAGAAUCUCUGUAUUGAUUCAGGUAAAAACUGAACUUCACAGCAUGUUGGAGCAAAGCAACCAGAUGAAAACUGUGAUGGUGUUGGAUUGUCAGACCGUAAUGUUGCAGCUCAAAGCAGCUUUUCUAGCUCAGUUCAUUCUGACAUUCAGCUAUGAAUCAACACAGCAGAUGGUGAUCCAUGCUGUGGAAGUCUCACAUCUCCUGAUUUAAUGGAGCUGCUUUGCACUUUUUACACUGUUUAUUCACCAACACUUUAUUUAAUAAAAGUCCCAUCUAGUUUUUAUGAGGAAUGUGAUGUUUUAAUUUCUCUGUGAAUAACUGCAGUCUAAUGCAACAGCUGGAACUCUAACAUCUGUCCUGAUAUUGAUCAUGAAGUAUUGAUCAGAAUACUGAUGGUCAGCAGUCAUCCCUGAAGUUUUACAUUAAAAUCUUUACUUGUGUUGUGAACUUUGGUAAGAAGCAGAAACUUUAGUGUUGCCAUGGAUACAUGAGUGUUAAAUUCUGUCCAUGUUUCCAUUUUGGGAAAUUCAGUCCAGCAGAUGAGUUUGUUUUUACUGCCAGCUACCGUUCAGUCUGAGAUAUUAAGAAUAAAUAAAUGUGCAUAAUGUGGAAAUGAACAGAUUUUAUUUUUAUUUAUUCCUACAGCUACUGUGUGGAAAGUUCUAGAAUGUGGAGGAAUUUAGUCUCACAGUCACAGACAAUAAAUAUUAUCUUAAAGUCGGGUUAUUGUUUAUCAGCACAAUACAAAAAGAUUCAUGUUAGAAAUAUUCCAGUUAAGACUCUAGAAUAUCAUGAUUUAUGUAAAUUUACCUCAAUAAUAUUAAUGUUCAGGUUAAGAUUGUGCUGUGAUAUUUAUUAUGUAAGUUUAGCUGAUUAAUGUUUAUGACUCUGCACUACAUUAUUUAUUUAAAUUGACAUCAUUAUUAUAAUAUUUAGGGUCAGACCCGACAGUAUUGAGAUUAAGAAAUCAAAUAUUCUAUAAAAUGUAAAUACACUGAACUAAUCUGGAUAUAUUUAAGUGAGACUCUACAAUAUUAUUUAUGACACAAAUCUAUCUAAAUCAACAUUUUAAUCAUUUUUACUCCAAACAUUUACUGGACUGAUUUAAACAUUAAAAUCACUCCUUUCUAAUCCUCUGCUGUACGUUCAAACCUGAGGCCUUAAAUAGAAACACACAAGUAUCUGAUUGAAGGAACUUCUGCAGAGUCCUGGUUCCAGAACAUGAUGAUAGAAUUAUAGACAAACUUUAACAAAAGCUGCCUGAGAGUUUACAGGUUUUUAUGUUAGAUUUCUUCAGUAAUUUAAUGAGAGUUAUCAGCAAAAAUCAAUUGUUCAUUUGAUGAACUUCAUUUCCUAAAACGUCCAGAAUUGGAGUUCAUAUCUUUGGCAGCUGUAAAGUUUCUGCUCCUUCAAAGUUCACAACACAAUGAAUAAAUUCCUAAAACACUCUCAAUGCUGGAGAGCGUUUGAUGCUGAAGCAGUGAUCAGUUUUUCUGUUUCUUCUCUGGAGAUGCACAAUGAGGGACGUCUGCAGAGACUGAGAAAGAGUCUCACCACAUCCUGACAUGAGGAAAAAGACUUUAUUGAAGACUACAAUGAGAAAAACUAUCAGAUAGCAGACGGCUGCAUUCAAGGUGAGCUCUGAACAUUUGAUCUGGAACAGGAAUUCAAUAACGGCAGCAUGAGCUUCAUUUCAGUCUGUAGCUGCUGAAUUCAUGGAUGAAUCAUCUGGCACUAGAGAAGAAGACCAUCAAACAUCCACGUCAGCUGAUGGAGGUCCAAGAGUCUCACCCAACAAACAACCUACAGAGUGAAGACCUCAAAUCUGAUUGGACGGCCUCCUAUUCAGCCACAUGUGAACAAAUGCCUCUAAGCUGAUUUGUUUUCUAAAAUAAAUCUAGUUUGAGUCCUAA